AAGUCCCGAAGAUGAAGUUUGAGCAAACCUACACGUGAAACAAACUGUCUAUGGAAGCAACACGUUUCUGGAGCGUCGUCGAGAAAGAUGUGUGUCCAGUGCUGACAAUACAGAGGUUCCUGCAGGCCAUCCACAAGGGGAUAGUGGUGUGGCAGCCCCUUUUCGUCGGCCCGGACCUAUUGAUAUUUCACAGUCAAGAGCAGCAGGACCCACUCAACCCCGGUUAAAGAUAUAUCCAAAAACCAUGCAAGGAGAGAAGAGGAGGUCAUUCAAUCCAUCUUGGUACAACACGUUUUCAUGGCUUGAGUACUCACUUAUGAAAGACUGCGCUUACUGCUAUGCAUGCAGACACUUC